CGGGGUGAGUAAUGUCUGGGAAACUGCCUGAUGGAGGGGGAUAACUACUGGAAACGGUAGCUAAUACCGCAUAACGUCCUCGGACCAAAGUGGGGGACCUUCGGGCCUCACGCCAUCGGAUGUGCCCAGAUGGGAUUAGCUAGUAGGUGGGGUAAUGGCUCACCUAGGCGACGAUCCCUAGCUGGUCUGAGAGGAUGACCAGCCACACUGGAACUGAGACACGGUCCAG
rnacentral:rRNA from 1 species